CCCUUAGAUGUUCUGGGCCGCACGCGCGCUACACUGACGAUGGCAACGAGUUUUUCCUUCGCCGAAAGGUGUGGGUAAUCUUUUGAAACAUCGUCGUGCUGGGGAUAGAUCAUUGCAAUUUUUGAUCUUGAACGAGGAAUUCCUAGUAAGCGCGAGUCAUCAGCUCGCGUUGAUUAAGUCCCUGCCCUUUGUACACACCGCCCGUCGCUACUACCGAUUGAAUGGUUUAGUGAGGACUCCUGAUUGGCGCCGCCGCCCCGGCAACGGAGCAGCGGACUGCCGAAAAGUUGUUCAAACUUGAUCAUUUAGAGGAAGUAAAAGUCGUAACA
rnacentral:rRNA from 1 species